rnacentral:rRNA from 1 species
AUUGAACGCUGGCGGCAGGCUUAACACAUGCAAGUCGAGCGGGGGAAGGUAGCUUGCUACCGGACCUAGCGGCGGACGGGUGAGUAAUGCUUAGGAAUCUGCCUAUUAGUGGGGGACAACAUUCCGAAAGGAAUGCUAAUACCGCAUACGUCCUACGGGAGAAAGCAGGGGAUCUUCGGACCUUGCGCUAAUAGAUGAGUCUAAGUCGGAUUGGCUAUUUGGUGGGGUAAAGGCCUACCAAGGCGACGAUCUGUAGCGGGUCUGAGAGGAUGAUCCGCCACACUGGGACUGAGACACGGCCCAGACUCCUACGGGAGGCAGCAGUGGGGAGUAUUGGACAAUGGGGGAAACCCUGAUCCAGCCAUGCCGCGUGUGUGAAGAAGGCCUUAUGGUUGUAAAGCACUUUAAGCGAGGAGGAGGCUACUGAGACUAAUACUCUUGGAUAGUGGACGUUACUCGCAGAAUAAGCACCGGCUAACUCUGUGCCAGCCGCCGCGGUAA